GGCCGUUCCCUUGGGAGCAGACAUGAUCGCUGUAGGACCUCUUCCCUUGCUCUUUCCUAGGACUGCAGACGAGAAGCGGCUUCCGAGGUCUCCCGAGAAAGGUCGCUGGCUGACGUUCGGAGGCUCUUGGUCUCCCUGGAGGAAGGACGCGGACCGGUCGUGUGCCUGUCUGCGGGGAGAACUAGCGCUGCCUGUGGAGGCUUAGCUGGGAUAUGCCCUGCCAGCUCCAGUCCGGCCUAUUUAUGCAGCUGCCCCAGCCCCGCCUCCUCCCUCCUCCUCUGCCCGGGAACCUUCGGUGCCUUCUUGAACAGCCGAGAGCUGGCACCCGCCCAUGGGGACAAUCCGCCCCCUCCUCCUGAUCUGACUAAUCAGGACGGAGAACUCGCCUUCUCUGGCAAAUUCUCCGCGGUUCUGGCUGGAGCUAGUAUUCCGGAGCAAGUGGGCGGAGGGGAAAGAGGAGGGACUCGGAGCGAGUCGCUCUGAGGACUAGUAAGGGACCUAGUAGAUGAUGUCAUAGGAAUGAGAUCUGUGUUUAGGAAUUCAGAAAAGUUCGGGGUUGUGCCCUGACGGGGGCAUUUGUCAGGUAGGGAUGUUUCUUUGCAGGGUGCUUCUAAUGAACGUCUUAAUGGUCUUCCCAGAGAAAUCUCCUUUCUUGAAAUUAACUGGGAGUCUUGACCCCUUGCGCCAAGCUAGGCAUCGGCUCCUGAAAUGAAGUGUUUCGGACACUAAGUGAUCUAGGCACCUCUUCAGGAAGGGACAGGGAAAACCAGAGAGGAGGAUAGUGAAGGAAGCGCGCAAAACAGGAAGGUAGAAAAUGAAGGUGUAGGAUUGAUGAGUGAAGUGGGAAGCGGAGCAAAAAAGGAGAGUGGGAAAUGAGGAUGGGAUAUGGAAAAGAGAAGUGAUGAAAAAGGGACAAAAAGGGCUGUGGAAAGUGAGGAUGAAUGAGAAGUAAAGAUGGGGCAUGGAAGAGCGAGCAGAUAGGGAGGGGAAGCAAAAAAGAGUGGGCGUGAGGAACAGGGCUGGAAGAAGGAGUUAAGGGAGCAAAAAGAGAGGGCGGCAGUUGAGGAUGGGGUGCGGAAGACAAGCGGAAGGAGGUGAGGGGGCAAAAAAGAAGAGGCAAGGCAAGAAUGGAGGAAAAAAAUGGGUAGAGUUGGGACGUUAGUGCCGAGAUUUGUCAUUUAGGAAACAAGAGUAGGAUGCCAAUGAAAUGUUUGGAGUAGUGAAGUUGCGUGUUUCUUCCGAAAACUUACAAUAAAAUUUGUUUGUAAUGAAACUGUAAUCAAAUUUUGUAAAAACUUGUUACUCAACAAAAUUGAUGAAAGCUUCAUUCGGCGAGAGCGUAGACACCCAUCCAGUGAAAAGCAUCCUCGCUCAGGUCCGUUUCAUUGUCCGCAUUGGUGGUUCAGUGGUAGAAUUCUCGCCUGCCACGCGGGAGGCCCGGGUUCGAUUCCCGGCCAAUGCAAGACCAAAAUUUAUUUUCAAUAAAAAAUUUUCCCGCUACUAGAAAAAA